AUUCCUUUAGUAAUGGCGAAUGAACAAGGAUUAGCUCAGGAUGAAAAUCAGGUAUUAUGGCAUUGAAUUGUAAUUUAAAGAUGCUCUGCCAACAGAUGCGCAGAUGUAAGCCUUUUGGAAAAACACAUCAAUGAUGGUGAGAAUCCUGUUGAUCAUUUGCAGCUAUCUGUGCACGGUGUGCAUUCUAUGAUUCACGUUCCUCGGGAUUGGAACGCAAAGUGGGUGGUAAUAUUCAUUUGAAGCUUAACAUUGGUUUGAGACCGAUAGCAAACAAGUACCAUGAGGGAAAAGUGAAAAGGACUUUGAAAAGAAAGUUAAAAAGUGCAUGAAAUUGUUGAAAAGGAAGCGGAUGUAACCAUAUGCUCUUUGCAAGAUUGUUGUGUGCCUCGUGUGAUAAGUUUGCUGCGUCAACGCCAAGUGUAGCAGCAAGCCUAAUCUGAUUGUGCAUGGUGGUUCUUGCAUUGUGUGCCAACAUCAUUUUGCAACUGGUGAAAACAUAAAAGACAAGGUAAUUUGCCUGCGGGUGAACGAAUGUGUUUUUAAGGGAGCCAGUUGUGGAUUGUUGCAUGCGUGGGUGGUACAAUGGUUAUGUGCACACAAUUAUUUACAUUGAAUAAGUGCUAAACCCAUUUGGCAAUUCUUGACACAACAAUGAUGGCAAAAUGGUUUCAUUUGACCCGUCUUGAAACACNNNNNNNNNNNNNNNNNNNNNNNNNNAAUAUGUGGGUGGCAGCUUGCUUGUGCAAUAAAAGUGAUGUGCUUGUAUAUAUGCAGCAGCAACUAACUGAUCAAGUAAGAGAGGUUUGAGUAUUAGCAUGUCUGUUAAGACCCGAAAGAUGGUGAACUAUGCCUGAGAAGGGUAAACUCAGGGGAAACUCUGAUGGAAGCUCGUAGCGAUACUGACGUGCAAAUCGUUCGUCAUACUUGGGUAUAGGGGCGAAAGACUAAUCGAACCAUCUAGUAGCUGGUUCCCUCUGAAGUUUCCCUCAGGAUAGCUGGAGUUGUGCAGUUUUAUUAUGUAAAGCGAAUGAUAAGAGGAAUCGGGGGCGUGUUGUCCUCGACCUAUUCUCAAACUUUAAAUGGGUAAGAUCCAGUGGUUGCUUUUUUGAACUUCUGCGAGAAAUGACAAUUCUAAGUGGGCCAUUUUUGGUAAGCAGAACUGGCGAUGAGGGAUGAACCUGACAUUGGGUUGAGGUGCUUAAUUGCUCGCUCAUCAGAUACCAUAAAGGGUGUUGGUCCAUUUAAACAGCAGGACGGUGGUCAUGGAAGUCGAAAUCCGCUAAGGAGUGUGUAACAACUCACCUGCCGAAUACCCGCUGAAUUUAAGCAUA
rnacentral:rRNA from 1 species